AAAAGAAAAAAAAUCCAACUGGAAAUGGACCCCAGAGCUCUGAGCACCAGUUCCUCCUACAAUCUUUCUAGAGACUAUAUACAUAGGUAGAGAUCUUGUGUGUGCAUUAUACACUCAUGAUAAUUAUACAAAACCUGAAGCUCAGAGAAUUGAAACAAGUUCCUGGACUUGCAGAGCACACGCAUACAUGACAGACACCAGGGGCAAAGCCUCUGCACCCCCUUCCAGCGACCUCCACACCUUUUCCACAGGGAACCGUGGAGCUGACUAGAGGUUGCUCUGGUAGACAAUGUGAGGGGCCUGCCCGCUGCUCUGUCUGCGCCUGCCCCCCCAUAUGUACACACACACACCACACACACACACACACACACACACACACACAAGAUUCAGCCUCGAGGUCCAUGGCUGUCCAGAGCCACAGAUAAACCUCCCGGUCUCCCUCUCAGCCUGCCCCUAACCUGUUGUGCUCAGGCUGCUAGAAGCUUGGGACAAUGGUAAGGUCCCUGCGCCCCCUUGGGGUGUGACCUGGGGAGAGAGGAAACAAAGUAUAUGGUAAGGCUCUCGUCACAAGGCAGCAUCCCACAGUGUUCCCUGUGCACAUGACUCCCACAGCCCCCCACACAGGGUGGGGCAAGAGGGUUCCAGGUGCUUCAUUUAGAUCAUGCCACUUCUUCCCCAUCAUCUACCCCCCAGGCGAGCCUGCGUCACAAGCAGGAGGCGCAGUCACUCCCAGCUGAGAAAGUCCCCCAUCUCUCUCUGACACCACCCUGUCCAGCUCUUGCCCCUGCAGAGCUGUGUCUGAACAACUGCUCUGUCUGCUCCUGCUGUUGGACUUCCUAGAAGGAACACACCCGUCUUUUUGGUUUUUCGAGAUAGGGUUUCUCUGUGUAAUUUUGGUGCCUGUCCUGGAUCUCUGGAUCUCUCUCUGUAGAUCAGGCUGGCCUCGAACUCACAGAGAUCCGCCUGGCUCUGCCUCCCGAGUGCUGGGAUUAAAGGCGUGCACCAUCACCGCCCGGUCACAUCUGUCUUUGUAAGAGAGUCUGGCAAGCCUGAAUUUCAUAAUAAGUUUGAGUCCAGCCUGGGCUACAUGUCAUGAAAUCCUGUCUCGAAAAAAAUAGGUUGACAUUUCAGCACUCAGGAGGGAGAGGCAGGAGGACCAGGAGUUCAGAGCCUCCUCUCUGCCGAAAUAAAAGGGCUGGUGAACCCCAAAGCAGUCUCACCCUGCCUUCGGCCCUAGAAGCUCUAAUCGAUUUGACUGUGUCUCUCCUCCACUUAAAAUCCUUUACGAACCUGGUUUGGAUUCCUGGUAAAACGUGAAGCAUCUGCCCCUGCCCAAGCUGCACUCCCAACCCCAUUCCCAGCAGCUCCCGCCACACUGCAUUGCACUGGGAUUCAGCACGUCUUGGCAUCCGAGCCUGUGUGCAUGCUGGACCUGGCAGCAUGUGGCCGUCUGGGUGGUCCUCCUCCUUCACGUGGCCAGCUAACUUGCAAAGGGUCCUUCCUUCCUCCCCAGCCCUAGAGUUGAGGGUUCUUCUCUGGCCACCACAGCCCUUUGUACAAGCAGAAAUAAAGGGACAGAAUAAAGGAUGUCCGGGUGUGCCUGAUAACUACUCAGACCCAUGUGUGGCUGUGGUACUGCAGUCUGGCCCUUCUUAUCUCUGUGGGUGGGAGCCCGGUGUAUUUCUACCCGGACCAUGCAGUAUCCCACCCUCAUGGUAAUGGAAGUGUAUGUGUGGGAGCCUGUACCCACCACAUAAGACCACACUUUGGGGCCUGGGAGAUGGUUUGGUGGGUAGAGGCACUUGCUCUUAAGCCUAAUGACCUGAGUUUGAUCCCUGGAACCUUCAGGGUGCAAGGAGAGAAUCGACUCCCAGGAGUUGUCUUCUGACCUCUACUCGGGUUGGGUGGCAUGGAAAUUGUCCCUUUAUGACUGUGCUCUCUGUUUGUGACAUACUGUCCCCAGAACCAGCUCCUCUGGCCUGCUUCACCCAGACGCCUACAGGCUUGUGCCCGGACACCUGACCCCCACACCCAGCCCACCGUCCAACUCUGGGUACCAGAACCAGACGCGGAUCACUUCCUUCUCCAUGUGCAGCUGCUCUGCGAUCAGCAGGAUCUCCUCUGAGGCGAAGCGGACAUUCGUCUCGAUGCUGGUUCUCUUCUUGCGUCUCCGCCCCGGCAGCCCGUCGAAACCCAGGCUAGGGCUGCUCAGCUGGUUGGGGCUGGGUAGGCUUGAGUCCACAGACAUAGUUUCUGCGAAGACAGGAGACAGGGAUGUGGUCCCAGACCUGCGUGAAGCCCAGCUUGAUGCGGCGUUGCUUGAAGGUGCGAGCGAAUUGUUCCAGUUCCUCCAGGUCACUAGGUUCCUCCGGGUGGGAUGGCGGUUCCAAGCAUUUUGGGGGCUGCGGGUGUGAGAG